GCUCACCAAGGCUAAGACGGGUAGCUGGUCUGAGAGGAUGAUCAGCCACACUGGGACUGCGACACGGCCAGACUCCUACGGGAGGCAGCAGUGGGGAAUAUUGGGCAAUGGGCGAAAGCCUGACCCAGCCACGCCGCGUGAGUGAUGAAGGCCUUCGGGUCGUAAAGCUCUGUGGGGAGGGACGAAUAAGCCUGUACCUAACACGUACGGGCCCUGACGGUACCUCCUUAGCAAGCACCGGCUAACCAUGUGCCAGCAGCCGCGGUAAUACAUGGGGUGCAAACGUUGCUCGGAAUUAUUGGGCGUAAAGCGCGCGUAGGCGGUCUUUUAAGUCGGAUGUGAAAGCCCUCGGCUCAACUGGGGAAGUGCAUCCGAAACUGAAAGGCUUGAGUACCAAAGAGGGUCGCGGAAUUCCCGGUGUAGAGGUGAAAUUCGUAGAUAUCGGGAGGAACACCGGUGGCGAAGGCGGCGACCUGGGUGGAUACUGACGCUGAGGCGCGAAAGCGUGGGGAGCAAACAGGAUUAGAUACCCUGGUAGUCCACGCCGUAAACGAUGGGUGCUAGAUGUUUCUGGUAUUGACCCCGGAGGCGUCGUAGCUAACGCGUUAAGCACCCCGCCUGGGGAGUACGGCCGCAAGGCUAAAACUCAAAGGAAUUGACGG
rnacentral:rRNA from 1 species